rnacentral:rRNA from 1 species
UUAAGCGACUAAGCGUACACGGUGGAUGCCCUGGCAGUCAGAGGCGAUGAAGGACGUGCUAAUCUGCGAUAAGCGUCGGUAAGGUGAUAUGAACCGUUAUAACCGGCGAUUUCCGAAUGGGGAAACCCAGUGUGUUUCGACACACUAUCAUUAACUGAAUCCAUAGGUUAAUGAGGCGAACCGGGGGAACUGAAACAUCUAAGUACCCCGAGGAAAAGAAAUCAACCGAGAUUCCCCCAGUAGCGGCGAGCGAACGGGGAGCAGCCCAGAGCCUGAAUCAGUAUGUGUGUUAGUGGAAGCGUCUGGAAAGGCGCGCGAUACAGGGUGACAGCCCCGUACACAAAAAUGCACAUAUUGUGAGCUCGAUGAGUAGGGCGGGACACGUGGUAUCCUGUCUGAAUAUGGGGGGACCAUCCUCCAAGGCUAAAUACUCCUGACUGACCGAUAGUGAACCAGUACCGUGAGGGAAAGGCGAAAAGAACCCCGGCGAGGGGAGUGAAAAAGAACCUGAAACCGUGUACGUACAAGCAGUGGGAGCACGCUUAGGCGUGUGACUGCGUACCUUUUGUAUAAUGGGUCAGCGACUUAUAUUCUGUAGCAAGGUUAACCGAAUAGGGGAGCCGAAGGGAAACCGAGUCUUAACUGGGCGUUAAGUUGCAGGGUAUAGACCCGAAACCCGGUGAUCUAGCCAUGGGCAGGUUGAAGGUUGGGUAACACUAACUGGAGGACCGAACCGACUAAUGUUGAAAAAUUAGCGGAUGACUUGUGGCUGGGGGUGAAAGGCCAAUCAAACCGGGAGAUAGCUGGUUCUCCCCGAAAGCUAUUUAGGUAGCGCCUCGUGAAUUCAUCUCCGGGGGUAGAGCACUGUUUCGGCAAGGGGGUCAUCCCGACUUACCAACCCGAUGCAAACUGCGAAUACCGGAGAAUGUUAUCACGGGAGACACACGGCGGGUGCUAACGUCCGUCGUGAAGAGGGAAACAACCCAGACCGCCAGCUAAGGUCCCAAAGUCAUGGUUAAGUGGGAAACGAUGUGGGAAGGCCCAGACAGCCAGGAUGUUGGCUUAGAAGCAGCCAUCAUUUAAAGAAAGCGUAAUAGCUCACUGGUCGAGUCGGCCUGCGCGGAAGAUGUAACGGGGCUAAACCAUGCACCGAAGCUGCGGCAGCGACACUAUGUGUUGUUGGGUAGGGGAGCGUUCUGUAAGCCUGUGAAGGUGUGCUGUGAGGCAUGCUGGAGGUAUCAGAAGUGCGAAUGCUGACAUAAGUAACGAUAAAGCGGGUGAAAAGCCCGCUCGCCGGAAGACCAAGGGUUCCUGUCCAACGUUAAUCGGGGCAGGGUGAGUCGACCCUAAGGCGAGGCCGAAAGGCGUAGUCGAUGGGAAACAGGUUAAUAUUCCUGUACUUGGUGUUACUGCGAAGGGGGGACGGAGAAGGCUAUGUUGGCCGGGCGACGGUUGUCCCGGUUUAAGCGUGUAGGCUGGUUUUCCAGGCAAAUCCGGAAAAUCAAGGCUGAGGCGUGAUGACGAGGCACUACGGUGCUGAAGCAACAAAUGCCCUGCUUCCAGGAAAAGCCUCUAAGCAUCAGGUAACAUCAAAUCGUACCCCAAACCGACACAGGUGGUCAGGUAGAGAAUACCAAGGCGCUUGAGAGAACUCGGGUGAAGGAACUAGGCAAAAUGGUGCCGUAACUUCGGGAGAAGGCACGCUGAUAUGUAGGUGAAGUCCCUCGCGGAUGGAGCUGAAAUCAGUCGAAGAUACCAGCUGGCUGCAACUGUUUAUUAAAAACACAGCACUGUGCAAACACGAAAGUGGACGUAUACGGUGUGACGCCUGCCCGGUGCCGGAAGGUUAAUUGAUGGGGUUAGCCGCAAGGCGAAGCUCUUGAUCGAAGCCCCGGUAAACGGCGGCCGUAACUAUAACGGUCCUAAGGUAGCGAAAUUCCUUGUCGGGUAAGUUCCGACCUGCACGAAUGGCGUAAUGAUGGCCAGGCUGUCUCCACCCGAGACUCAGUGAAAUUGAACUCGCUGUGAAGAUGCAGUGUACCCGCGGCAAGACGGAAAGACCCCGUGAACCUUUACUAUAGCUUGACACUGAACAUUGAGCCUUGAUGUGUAGGAUAGGUGGGAGGCUUUGAAGUGUGGACGCCAGUCUGCAUGGAGCCGACCUUGAAAUACCACCCUUUAAUGUUUGAUGUUCUAACGUUGACCCGUAAUCCGGGUUGCGGACAGUGUCUGGUGGGUAGUUUGACUGGGGCGGUCUCCUCCUAAAGAGUAACGGAGGAGCACGAAGGUUGGCUAAUCCUGGUCGGACAUCAGGAGGUUAGUGCAAUGGCAUAAGCCAGCUUGACUGCGAGCGUGACGGCGCGAGCAGGUGCGAAAGCAGGUCAUAGUGAUCCGGUGGUUCUGAAUGGAAGGGCCAUCGCUCAACGGAUAAAAGGUACUCCGGGGAUAACAGGCUGAUACCGCCCAAGAGUUCAUAUCGACGGCGGUGUUUGGCACCUCGAUGUCGGCUCAUCACAUCCUGGGGCUGAAGUAGGUCCCAAGGGUAUGGCUGUUCGCCAUUUAAAGUGGUACGCGAGCUGGGUUUAGAACGUCGUGAGACAGUUCGGUCCCUAUCUGCCGUGGGCGCUGGAGAACUGAGGGGGGCUGCUCCUAGUACGAGAGGACCGGAGUGGACGCAUCACUGGUGUUCGGGUUGUCAUGCCAAUGGCACUGCCCGGUAGCUAAAUGCGGAAGAGAUAAGUGCUGAAAGCAUCUAAGCACGAAACUUGCCCCGAGAUGAGUUCUCCCUGACUCCUUGAGAGUCCUGAAGGAACGUUGAAGACGACGACGUUGAUAGGCCGGGUGUGUAAGCGCAGCGAUGCGUUGAGCUAACCGGUACUAAUGAACCGUGAGGCUUAACCUU